GGACGCAAGUCUGAUCCAGCCAUGCCGCGUGAAGGAUUAAGGCCCUCUGGGUUGUAAACUUCUUUUAUAGGGGACGAAAAAAGGGUUUUCUAACUCGUCUGACGGUACCCUAUGAAUAAGCACCGGCUAACUCCGUGCCAGCAGCCGCGGUAAUACGGAGGGUGCAAGCGUUAUCCGGAUUCACUGGGUUUAAAGGGUGCGUAGGCGGGCAGUUAAGUCAGUGGUGAAAUCUUCGAGCUUAACUCGGAAACUGCCAUUGAUACUAUCUGUCUUGAAUACUGUGGAGGUGAGCGGAAUAUGUCAUGUAGCGGUGAAAUGCUUAGAUAUGACAUAGAACACCGAUUGCGAAGGCAGCUCGCUACACAAAUAUUGACGNUGAGGCACGAAAGCGUGGGGAUCAAACAGGAUUAGAUACCCUGGUAGUCCACGCCCUAAACUAUGGAUACUCGACAUUUGCGAUACACAGUAAGUGUCU
rnacentral:rRNA from 1 species